rnacentral:rRNA from 1 species
UGGGGAAUUUUGGACAAUGGGCGAAAGCCUGAUCCAGCCAUGCCGCGUGCAGGAUGAAGGCCUUCGGGUUGUAAACUGCUUUUGUACGGAACGAAAAGCCUCUUUCUAAUAAAGAGGGGUCAUGACGGUACCGUAAGAAUAAGCACCGGCUAACUACGUGCCAGCAGCCGCGGUAAUACGUAGGGUGCAAGCGUUAAUCGGAAUUACUGGGCGUAAAGCGUGCGCAGGCGGUUUUGUAAGACAGAGGUGAAAUCCCCGGGCUCAACCUGGGAACUGCCUUUGUGACUGCAAGGCUGGAGUGCGGCAGAGGGGGAUGGAAUUCCGCGUGUAGCAGUGAAAUGCGUAGAUAUGCGGAGGAACACCGAUGGCGAAGGCAAUCCCCUGGGCCUGCACUGACGCUCAUGCACGAAAGCGUGGGGAGCAAACAGGAUUAGAUACCCUGGUAGUCCACGCCCUAAACGAUGUCAACUGGUUGUUGGGGUCUUCACUGACUCAGUAACGAAGCUAACGCGUGAAGUUGACCGCCUGGGGAGUACGGCCGCAAGGUUGAAACUUAAAUGAAUUGACGGGGUCAUAGCUGUUUCCU